AAGGAUCAUUACUGAAUAACUAUGGUGUUGGUUGUAGCUGCCUCUUCGGAGGAUGUGCACGCCCGCCAUUCUUAUCCAUCCACCUGUGCACCUUUGUAGAGACUAGGACACGCUCUCGGGCGUGAGUGAGGAUUUCGGUCCUCACGUUUCUGGUCACUACGUUUACACAAACCCCAAGUAUAAUCCAGAAUGUAGUCAAUGGGCUUCUUAGCCUAUAAAAACUAUACAACUUUUAGCAACGGAUCUCUUGGCUCUC
rnacentral:misc_RNA from 1 species